UUACCUACGGGACGCAGCAGUAGGGAAUCUUCCACAAUGGGCGAAAGCCUGAUGGAGCAACGCCGCGUGGGUGAAGAAGGUCUUCGGAUCGUAAAACCCUGUUGUUAGAGAAGAAAGUGCGUGAGAGUAACUGUUCACAUUUCGACGGUAUCUAACCAGAAAGCCACGGCUAACUACGUGCCAGCAGCCGCGGUAAUACGUAGGUGGCAAGCGUUAUCCGGAUUUAUUGGGUUUAAAGGGAGCGUAGGCCGGCUUUUAAGUCAGCUGUGAAAGGCCGCGGCUCAACCGUGGAAUUGCAGUUGAAA
rnacentral:rRNA from 1 species